CCGACAGAUAUCCAGAAAGCUCCAACGUGAUCCCAUCCCGCUCACCAUCCACGGACCACGGUAGUACAACGACGGCUCCUCCUCUCGUUCCCUCGUGCGCCAAACCAGAUUCCAAAAUCAAAAUUCACUUCGAAAAGCUCCGCUACUUCUCUUGUCUCUGCGUCGCCGCCGCCACGGUUGUUGCUGCGGAUGGCUGAGGCGAAGGGGGCGGCUGCGCCGCUGCUGGCGCGGGAGGAUGGGAGACGGCGUGGAGGCUGGGGAGGAGCAACCUGGGCGCAGACGCUGGGCAACGUGGUGGUGUCCAUUGUGGGCACGGGGGUGCUCGGCCUGCCCUACGCCUUCCGAGCCGCCGGCUGGGUCGCCGGAUCCCUCGGCGUCGCCGCCGCCGGAUUCGCCACGCUCUACUGCAUGCUCCUCCUGGUGGACUGUAAAGAUAAAUUGCAGGAGGAAGAAACUGAUGAACCAAAGAAUUAUACAUAUGGAGAUUUUGGUGAGAAGUGCUUUGGGACUAUAGGUCGGUGCUUGACGGAAAUUCUCAUUCUUAUCUCACAAGCGGGUGGUUCUGUAGCUUACCUAGUAUUCAUUGGUGAAAAUCUGCAUUCCGUGUUUAGCCAGUCGAUGUCACCAGCUGGCUUCAUCUUUGCCGUCCUAUUGCCUGUGCAAAUCGCGUUGUCCUUCAUUCUUUCACUAUCCUCUCUUUCACCAUUCAGUAUAUUUGCUGAUGUGUGCAAUGUCCUAGCGGCGGCAGUGGUUAUCAGAAAAGAUCUUCAACUAAUUGAUCAUCCUUUUGCAAAUAGAAGUGCUUUUAAUGGAGUUUUGGCGAUACCUUUCGCUUUUGGAGUCGCGGUCUUCUGCUUUGAAGGAUUCAGCAUGACACUGGCACUAGAAUCAUCAAUGGCGGAACGUAGAAAGUUCCGUUGGGUGCUUUCUCAAGCAGUUGUGGGCAUCAUAGUUGUGUAUGCAUGUUUUGGAGUAUGUGGGUACUUGGCCUAUGGUGAGGCUACCAAGGACAUCAUAACACUUAAUCUUCCCAAUAGUUGGUCAUCUGCUGCUGUUAAGGUUGGCCUAUGCAUUGCACUAGCAUUCACAUUCCCAGUUAUGAUGCACCCGAUUCACGAGAUUGUGGAGACAAGGCUCAGAUCAAGUGGAUGCUUCCAGAAGCUCUCCCACGGGGUUCCUGGUGCCGAGUGGCUAGGCCUGCACUCGAGCCGCAUCAUCAUGGUGACUAUUUUAACUGUGAUGGCAUCCUGCAUACCUGCAUUUGGGUCCUUCGUCUCCUUUGUUGGGUGCACCGUCUGUGCGCUGCUCUCCUUUGUGCUACCUACCUUCUUCCACCUCAACAUCGUAGGAUCGUCAAUGAGCCUAUGGAGAAGAGUGCUGGACUACGGCUUCCUUCUGUUUGGCCUUGGUUUUGCUGGUUAUGGAAUAUUCACUGCUCUCUCGUCACACUGACUGAUGAAGUAAUGACAAAAUGUCCAAGAUCUGCAAAUUAGGGUUUAUUUCUUUGGAAGACGUGUCUGGAGAGAAAUAUCUGCUGCCCUGGGAUAACAUGCAUCAAAUUGAGAAGACUUUCAUACUCAGCUGAUUAUCCCCUGCCUUGGUUUGAUUUGUUAGGAUUUCUGUUUUUGAGUCUGAUAGUUCAUACAGAUGAUAAGGAAGCACAUGGGUCCAUCAAUGCUAUUGUCCAUGUGAAGCUGCAGAGCAAAGAAAAUACUCACCAAAUCUACUGUUCAGGCCUAGGUGGACCUGCCAAAUUUAGCCACCGUCCCGAGACAAAGAAGAAGAGCAAGUAUCGCAUCACUGCACAAAUGUCAACCUACAAGGACAUGCGGGUGAGCACCCCGGGUCUUGCUGAUCUUGCAUGCAACUGCCGUGUUCUUUUAGACCAAAUCACUUGGUGGAACGAGUAGGACACGGCCUAUUUAUCUACCAUGGCGGACACCACAUACCAGUCUCAAAAAGUGUGCGUCCACGGUUCUAGG